rnacentral:rRNA from 1 species
CCUACGGGCGGCUGCAGUGGGGAAUAUUGGACAAUGGGGGGAACCCUGAUCCAGCCAUGCCGCGUGUGUGAAGAAGGCCCUCGGGUUGUAAAGCACUUUCAGUGAGGAAGAACGCCUGGUGGUUAAUACCCAUCAGGAAAGACAUCACUCACAGAAGAAGCACCGGCUAACUCCGUGCCAGCAGCCGCGGUAAUACGGAGGGUGCGAGCGUUAAUCGGAAUUACUGGGCGUAAAGCGCGCGUAGGUGGCUUGAUAAGCCGGUUGUGAAAGCCCCGGGCUCAACCUGGGAACGGCAUCCGGAACUGUCAAGCUAGAGUGCAGGAGAGGAAGGUAGAAUUCCCGGUGUAGCGGUGAAAUGCGUAGAGAUCGGGAGGAAUACCAGUGGCGAAGGUGGCCUUGUGGACUGACACUGACAGUGAGGUGCGAAAGCGUGGGUAGCAAACAGGAGUAGAUACCCGAGUAGUC